rnacentral:lncRNA from 1 species
CUCAAGCCAUGCCAAGAAAACUUCAUCUAAAGAUCUGGAAAUUGCUAUAAACAUUUUAGGUAAAGUUCAGCCAUUUAAAUAUGUUAAGGGAAGGAAAUUUGAAAGUUUUAAAACAAAUCAAAAAUAUCAAAAAUUAAUUGUUCAAAGGAAAGAUCUAAUACAUGCCACCCAUAAAAAAAAUUCAGAGGUUAUUUUUAAAUUCAUAAAUUUUUCUAUAGUGUGUUUAUAGUUUCAUUGAAAAUCAACUGCCUAUAUCUACUGAACUUUGUGUCUCUAUUAAAAAAAUUAGAAUACCUUAUUUACUGAAUGUCAAUAGCAUAUAAAUCAUAACCAUUAAUUGUUCAAUGCAUGUAAAUUUCUCUCCACUAAUACUGAAAAUGUAAAGAAGGAUAAAGCAGUUAAUUUUACUAACCCAUUACAAUUAUUUAAUUUUAUUUUUGAAACUGGAUAUAUGCCGAAACAGUGGUGUAAAGGAAUACUUAUUCCUGUGCAAAUAAAAAUUAUGUAAAUGUUACUGAUGAUUAUUAUACUGAUGCUAUUUUUGCCUUACAAUUAAUUAUUACUAUAAAAUAUUGGGGAUUGAAGAAACAACUUCAUUGUUGUUUUAUAGAUUUUAAAAGUGCUUUUGAUAACUUUAAUACAUUUUUUUUAAAUCAUAAACUUGCAAAAUGUGGUAUCAGUGGUAAAUUUCUACCAAAAGGUCAAAAAAGUAUAGCCAAAUCCGUGAAAGGAAUCAGAGCUUUGCAUUAGGGAGAUACAUUUUUUAAUUUAUAAUAAUUUCUAUCAUUUUGUAACAGCUAAUUUUAAUAUUACAAAAAAUCCGUACUUUCAUGCCAGUACCGAAGUACUGGCUACUGGGAUGGUUAUACCCUCGGGGACUAAUAGUCCACCAGCACAGGCAUCGACCCAGUGGUAGUAAUAAAAUUAACGGUACCAAUUGUCUUGCACCAGAUGCGCAUUCCGACAAUACAUGUAAAAUAUGUCAACAUUAAAAUGUAACACACACAGAAACGGACUAAGCAAUAGACAAAAUCCGAUGAGAAAUAUAAUAUCAAAACCAAAUACAUGAAUUUGGAAUAGAAAAGUACCGUGACACGUCUUAUGGUUAAGGGAAUUAACACUCAAAUAAAAGAUAAAAUAAACAACACAAAGUUGAAAUGUAACACACACAUAAACGAACAAUAAUUUAACAAUGGCCAUAUUCCUGACUUCGUACAGGACAUUUUUAAAGAAAAAUAUGAUGGGUUGAACCUGGUUUUAUGGCAUGCCACUCCUCGCACUUUAAUGGCAAUGUUAAAUAUAACAUUGAAAUGACAACAUAAUAUUACAGGACUAAAACACACAUAAAUAGGAGAACAUGUAUAUAUAUAUAUACUAUUGAUUACCUGCGCUCGCAGAUGUGAAAAUGAACGGAAUACUCUGGUUUGAGUAAAGAUAACCCUGAUGGACAAGUUAGUGGUCGAUUACGUAUUAUUUGAUGAAGACAAAGAUAAUACACUUAUAACCCUGCUUGUAAUAAACACAAUCAUGAUUAAAAUUAUGUUCCUUGUGAUGCUGACAAGACGACCAAUGCUGCCUCGAAUCCAAGGAUAUACAUAGAAAGUCCACCCAACAAAGAUAAUGCAUUAAAUGUGACACUUCAUAAAAAUACUGAAUGAAAAAGUAAGUUUUGCCUUUGAAUCAUUUCUUUCCAUAUAUUUCUUUCUCAUCUUAACUGAGAGUGAUCAUUUUGUUAAGGUCAAAUAUACAAGAUUUGUGGUAAAAGUUACAAUGUAUCUGAUGCCUAAAUCUCAACCUUUUUGUUUUGUCAUCUUUGCAGUAAAUAAUACUAGUAAUUGAUUUAGAAUAAUAAUCUUCCCAAAUGAAUGCGAGAACAAAGAAACUGUACAAGCUUUCCCAUGAUUUUCUUCAGAAUAAUUAUCUUUACAAAUGCUUGUUCCCCCCAAGGGCGACUGGGGAAUAGUAAUAAAUACGGUCACUUGGUAUUCUUCCGACCGGCAGUUAAACGCUUGCCAAAGUGGGGCGUCCGUUUGGCUGUGCGGAAUGUAUCAAGUUCGCAGUCACGUCAGACCAGUUUGGGACGUUAAAUCCGAUGACUCGUGUAAGGAGAAAACCAAACCAUUUGUACUCAGAAAAAAGUUCAUAACUGCAGUUUAGUUUCUAUGAUCUAUGUAUCUUUGCAAAAUCCUUUCCUUUUGCUGGUGAUCAUAAUAAAUGGGAACAAAAUGUUUAUAGAAACGUAUAUUUUAUUUCAGAGAAUAUGUAACAAGAGAAGAAUUCAAAGAGUUACAUAAAGAGUACAAAAGUUUCAGGGAACGCGUCAUCAUACUUAAAGAAAAUCCAGAACCUACAGCUGAGCACGUAGCUGCAGUAGAGUCAUUGUCACGACACACAAC